UACGUAGGGGGCUAGCGUUGUCCGGAAUCAUUGGGCGUAAAGCGCGUGUAGGCGGUCCGGUAAGUCCGCUGUGAAAGUCGGGGGCUCAACCCUCGGAUGCCGGUGGAUACUGUCGGGCUUGAGUACGGAAGAGGCGAGUGGAAUUCCUGGUGUAGCGGUGAAAUCGCGCAGAUAUCAGGAGGAACACCAAUGCGAAGGCAGCUCGCUGGACGUUACUGACGCUGGAGACGCGAAAGCGUGGGGAGCAAACAGG
rnacentral:rRNA from 1 species